AGCUGGCUCAGGCACUCCUGGCAGAAGGUGUGCAGGCACGCCAGCAGCUUGGGCGCGCGCCGGUCCGCGUCGAAGUAGUUGUAGCAGAUUUUGCACUCGUAGUCCUCGAGCGGAGGCAGGCCGGGGACGGUCACGGCGGCGCUCCGAGCGGCCGCGUCCCCGCCGUCCCGGGCUCCCGCCGCGGCGACCCCGGCUCCUGUCGAGCUCCCGGGGCUGCUGGUUGGGCUCCGCUCGCCGCCGCCGCCGCCGCUGUCGCUCGCCGGCGCUGCCAUGGCAUGAUCCGCCCCUCAUCGGGGGCAAGGUGAGGAGUCUUCCUCCCCCUCGGUCGUCGCCUCGGCUCUCGGCAGGGAGGAGGCGCUUCUGCCUCCCCCCUCGGGCUGCUGUCGCCUGGCGGGGGAGGCACCGCUGGCUGGGCCGGGCGGGGGCGCAGCGACGACCGCCUUCCCUCACGCUGCCCCAAGGCGCGGGCGCCUCGGUCCCUCCCAAUCCCCUGGCGUCUCUCCGCAGUCCCCCCCUGAGCUUCUCAAGGCCGCUCUCCUGGCCCCUUUGGAUGUCAGUUUUUGUUGGAAUUGGAAGUGGAGGGAGGAUGGGGGGGGGGGCGGUGCAGGAACGAAAUUUGGGGUGCGGCUGCUUCAGGAUGUGGCGCCCUUGCACACACCCCCUCCCCCUCCCCGGCAAACAGACGAGGGGUGGUGGUGGCGGUGGGAAACCUGGUCCUGCUUUUUCCUUAUUCCUCUCCCUCGUCCAACUCCCGUUUACCCUCGUUAUUCCAUGUUUACUCCCCUGGGUUUGGGGCUGAGUCCCUGGCGGAGCCUCCUCGCCCGCCCCCCCCCACCCCAGCAAGAGCUCACCGGUGAUGUAAUGCGGGACCCGCGCAGGGAGGGGAAGCGGCAGCCAGGGCAGCGGCGGCAGCUCAGGUUCCUGUUCGUGAAAAUCGUGAUCUCAUUUCUCCGUCCAAGGGCGAAAGCCAGUAAUUACCCUGCCAUUUAUACACUUUCCACUUGUAUUAGCAAAGCCCAGGUAGCCCUGCAGCAUUCACAGGGUGGAAGCGGAGGGCUGGCAUGUUCCUUUCACCGUUUGGAGGAAAUUUUGGAGCUAAACGGUUGGACCUCCCCCCAUGAAAAGAGAGAGAACCACAACAAGGAAGGCGAAGAGGAGGGUUCUCUGGGUUCCCAUGAGAUGGGAAUGUUUCCACUUCUUCUCCGUGUUAUCUGCGGAAGGCAGUAAGAUGCUCCAGAGAAUGUUUGUGGAAAGGACAGAUGAAUGGAAAAUCAGCUGAAGGAAAAUGGCGGAAAGGAACCAGUAAGCUACCAAGCAGGAAUUGUCCUAAACAGCUGGUAGCAUCUCUCUACAAAGAACUUUCUUCCAUCACCUGGAAAUGAGCCGCCAUGCCUCCUGUAAGGUGGUUCUGCCGUGCUGCCAGAGUUGGGUAUCACUGCCUCAGGAUCUUGAUGCCAUUAAAAAAGGUAGCACCGGGGGCACCUGGGUGGCUCAGUCAGUUGGGCGUCUGACUUUGGCUCAGGUCAUGAUCUCGCAGUCCGUGAGUUCAAGCCCCACGUCGGGCUCUGUGUUGACAGCUCAGAGCCUGGAGCCUGCUUCAGAUUCUGUCUCCCUCUCUCUGCCCCUUCCCUGCUCUCACUUUCUCUCUGUCUCUCUGUCUCUGUCUCUCUCUCUCUCUCAAAAAAAAAAACCCAAAAAACCAACAUUAUAUAUAUAUGUAAAAAGGCAGCACCCAUGGAGAAUAGUAACACCUAAAUGUGUGAUCGGUUCCUUUUACGUCCCAUUGAUCCCAAGGAGAAGCGAAAUAACCAGGACAAUGGGUGUCUGGGCAACUGUUGGAAAGUGCAGAGAAAAAGAAAAAAGACAGGCUUCAUCUACAAAAUGAACUGUUUUUCUGCUUCAGUCAAAUCUGAUGAUCCGGACUCUAAGUUGUUUACUAGUGAAGCAAUAAAACUUUAUCAGGAAAUAUUUGUUGGAGCUGCUGGCCGACUGACAGAGUUAAUGUGCUGCUUGGAUAUGAGCAGCACUGAUGUCGUUUAUCCGUGUCACCCUAUCCCAAGGUUUGCCAACCGCCAUUGCUGCUGUUCUGGAGUAACUUGGAGUUGGAACUCAAGGCACGUGCUGCACUGUCCUUUUCUUCUGUUGCACCAAAUAAUUUUCCAAAUCUAUCAUGUCGCUAAGUGUCUCUCUAGAUGUAAUGGCCUGAAAUCCGAAACAAUGGCACUGCUGGUGUGGGGAGAAAUGGCUUUCUCAUUUAAUUUGUCAGACUUCCAACCACUCAUCUAUUCCACAAGCAAUGUAGCAGCCAAACCUCUGUGUUUCAGAAUUCAAUUAUAAUUGAUUGAAAACAUUCUGUUAAGAGCCAGUUGACUGAAGACAAUGUCCUAGAAGGUUUUGUCCUUCCAACUUUUUAAUACAUAAAUUUACAAACAUGCGGGAAAGUGGGAAAAAGUAGCCCAAUGAAGAUCUGUACGUCCCCCGCUUAGAUUUAACAAUUAACAGCAUUUCGUUGAGUGUGUUAGUGUCACCAGAGCUGGUGUAACAAAGUGCUACAGCCUGGGCAACUCAGACCACAGGGAUUUUGUUUUUCACAAUUCUGGAGGCUAGAAGUUCAAGACCAAGGUGUGGACAGGGCUCCAGAGGCCUCCUUCCUUGGCUUGUAGAUGGCCAUCUUCACGUCGCCCUCCCUCUGGAUGUGUCUGUGUCCUGAUCUCUUCUGGUAAGGACAUGAGUCAGAUUGCAUUAAGACCUACCCUACCCUCAUUUUAACUUAAUCACCUCUUUAAAGGCCCUAUUUUUAUUAUUAUUUUUUUAAUGUUUACUUA